rnacentral:rRNA from 1 species
GACGAACGCUGGCGGCGUGCUUAACACAUGCAAGUCGAACGUGUGGCGAACGGGUGAGUAAUACGUGAGUAACCUGCCGUCUCUUUGGGUUAAGCCUUGGAAACGGGGUCUAAUACCGGAUAAAGGGGGAUGGGCUCUCGGCCUAUGAGCUGGUUGGUGGGGUGAUGGCCUACCAAGGCGGUGACGGGUCGCCGGCCUGAGAGGUGGGACGGCCACGUAGGGACUGAGCAACGGCCCAGACUACUCCGGGAGGGAGCAGUGGGGGCAAUUGCAGAAUGGGCGAAAGCCUGAUGCAGCGACGCCGAGUAGGGGAUGAAGGCUUUCGGGUUGUAAACCUCUUUAGCUAUCGAACGGGUAGCUGGAGAAGAAGCGCCGGCUAACUACGUGCCAGCAGCCGCGGUAAUAC